AACGAACGCUGGCGGCAUGCCUAACACAUGCAAGUCGAACGAGACCUUCGGGUUUAGUGGCGCUCGGCUGCGUAACGCGUGGGAACCUGCCCUUAGGUUCGGAAUAACUCCCCGUAAGGGGUGCUAAUACCGGAUAAUGUCUUAGGACCAAAGAUUUAUCGCCUUUGGAUGGGCCCGCGUUGGAUUAGCUAGUUGGUAGUGUAAAAGCCUAGCAAGGCGACGUUCCAUAGCUGGUCUGAGAGGAUGAUCAGCCACACUGGGACUGAGACACGGCCCAGACUCCUACGGGAGGCAGCAGUGGGGAAUAUUGGACAAUGGACGAAAGCCUAAUCCAGCAAUGCCGCGUGUGUUAUGAAGGCCUUAGGGUUGUAAAGCUCUGUUACCCGGGAUGUUAAUGACAGUACCGGGUGAAUAAGCUCCGGCUAACUCCGUG
rnacentral:rRNA from 1 species